rnacentral:tRNA from 1 species
UCCCUGGUGGUCUAGUGGUUAGGAAUCAGCACUUUCACUGCUGUGGCCUGGGUUAAAUCCCUGGUCGGGGAA